rnacentral:rRNA from 1 species
CCUACGGGAGACAGCAGUGAGGAAUAUUGGUCAAUGGACGAGAGUCUGAACCAGCCAAGUAGCGUGAAGGAUGACUGCCCUAUGGGUUGUAAACUUCUUUUAUAUGGGAAUAAAACGUUCCACGUGUGGGUUUUUGUAUGUACUUUAUGAAUAAGGAUCGGCUAACUCCGUGCCAGCAGCCGCGGUAAUACGGAGGAUCCGAGCGUUAUCCGGAUUUAUUGGGUUUAAAGGGAGCGUAGGUGGGUUGUUAAGUCAGUUGUGAAAGUUUGCGGCUCAACCGUAAAAUUGCAGUUGAUACUGGCAGUCUUGAGUACAGUUGAGGUAGGCGGAAUUCGUGGUGUAGCGGUGAAAUGCUUAGAUAUCACGAAGAACCCCGAUUGCGAAGGCAGCUCACUAAACUGUGACUGACACUGAGGCUCGAAAGUGUGGGUAUCAAACAGGAUUAGAUACCCCAGUAGUC